UACAGAGGGUGCAAGCGUUAAUCGGAAUUACUGGGCGUAAAGCGUGCGCAGGCGGUUUUGUAAGCCAGAUGUGAAAUCCCCGGGCUCAACCUGGGAAUGGCAUUUGGGACUGCAAGGCUGGAGUACGGCAGAGGAGACUGGAAUUCCUGGUGUAGCAGUGAAAUGCGUAGAGAUCAGGAGGAAUACCGAUGGCGAAGGCAGGUCUCUGGGCUGAUACUGACGCUCAUGCACGAAAGCGUGGGGAGCAAACAGG
rnacentral:rRNA from 1 species